UCUUCCGUAGUAUAGUGGUCAGUAUAUGAGCUUGUCAUCGCAAGGUCGACUUCGCUCGGGACCCGGGUUCAAUUCCCGGCGGGAGAG